rnacentral:lncRNA from 1 species
GAUCCUCAAAAGAAACCAAACUGAAAACUUCUCAAACCUGAAUAUUCAAUUUGUUAAGAUAUUUUCCUCCUCCCCUUUUCCCCUCCUCCCUUUCUCUGUUUCAGCAGUACAAUACUCAAUACUCCUCCAGUGGAUUUCAGCAGGCCUCCCUCGCCAACAACACUCUAAGGAGCACUGGGCAGAGCGUGCAGCAAACGUGGAACAGGUCCAGCACAAUGAGAAACGGACGGAACGGAUUCUCCAGAUCCAUUAGCUUGACUUCUGAUCGCUACAUUGCAGACCACAUUGACAGAAGAGUCUACGAGAUUGCUGAGGAGGAGUUGGA